CUUUUCUAGAUCCUAUAAAAUAGCGUUGUUAAAAUGAAGAAAAAUACAAAGUACACGCUCCAGUUGAGUGCACAGUGGACAUCGUCCUAGCAGGAUGCUAACAGCUUCAGCAUACCUGCUAUGUUAUUGCUUUGCUUUCAGAGAGUGAUGCCUAAUAGGUCAAACCAGAGGGCCUUAAUCUUAUAGAUCCAAAACUCAGCUUGCUCCAACCCUGAGUCAUGAUGAAAUCGGAGUUCCACGCCUGUCAGCCUACCAUUCGUGUACCCCAAAGGCUCAUAUAGUCUGUCAGAGAAUACUUUAGGGAGGGCCACCAUGUUAGCAGCAGCAGCAGCAACAACAGCAACAACAACAACACUACGACUGCCCGGGAAACAAAGGACAGAAAGGAAAAAAAGAAGAGCAAAAGAUGUGCAAACAAACCUUUCUGCAUGCUGGAUGGAUUUCAAAGAAAGAGAAGAUUUUACUUUUUUCUGUUUAUUUUUCGGGAAUUAAAAUUAUCUGCAAAAGGGAAAGCGUGAAUAUGUAAGUAGUAACUAAAAUAAAGUUCACAAACUCAGAUGCAUUCAGAUGACAGCCAUAUGACUUAAAAGGGGCAAGGUCUCAAGGAAUAACACUUGCAAGGAGUGGGUUCUGGGGAGAGGGGUGUGUUUGUUUCUCACCUAGAUGGAUUCAAACUUUGAAAAACACCUACCAGCAUCUGGGAGUUUGGAGUUUCCUAAUUAAGAUGAUGCUAUCAAAUCAGGCAUGUGAUCGUAAGUAUUACCUGGAGUGUGGUUACAAGCAAGAAUCCCAGGGCUUUCCUAUAAACCUCUAAAGAAGAAUCUUCAGGGAAAGGUCCUGGGAAUCAAGCUAUCUAAUAUUUAUUUAUAUAUUAGCCAGAUGACACUUAUGAUUCGGAACUUUUGGCGUACACCAAAAUAAAAUGUAUGGCCUAGUGCUUUCCAACCAAGUGCAGAGCUAUUUGACUGGGGAGGGGUGGGGGCCAAACAAUGGGCUCCCUUGGGGUGAAUGUCAUGAGAUGGCAGUGAGGGCAGAGAGAACAUCCUGAGUGAGGAGAUGUGGAUGCCGUGAAUGGCUUGAAUGCAACUGAGGAAAGUGAUUAGGGCUAUGUUGAGGUCUUGCGUGUGAGACAGUGGAUUUACUAAGAUUUCCACAAUCACAGGGAUUGAUUUGAGGUGUUUGGAACUUAAUGAGUGGAACUGUCUUUAAAGUGCAUUUUGUCCCUACAGGAAACAUAAGCUUGGAAUGGGAAAAUGGAGGCUUCUGCUGAUAGGCCUACUGCUUUUUGAGUGCCUUGGCUGUCAAGGGUCCAAUAUGGAAAAUAGAAACCACUUCAGGUAUCUCAAGCAGAGAGGAAUUAAUGCAGGGAACUGGCUGAACACUUGUUGGAAGGAUGGAGGACCAACUCAGAAAAGGGCAUGUUACCCAGUGAUGAGCGGCCACCUCUGCUACUGCCACUGUAGCCACUGCUGUUGGAAUCAUGCUGCUGAACUCCUGCUUCUGCUGCUGCCAGAAGUACCACCAGGAGGUAAGAGGAGGUGAGGUAUUUUAGCUGAUUUGCCAAAGACUCUUAGGUGAGAUGCACACAGGGUUGGAAGAGUAAUCUCAAGAUGGACUGGAGGACAAUAGCUCUGUAUUUGCUGCAGACUAGAAUUAUGGAAGGAGGCAGAGUCAGUAAUGACUGAGACAUUUUUACAGAAAAUUGUUGAAUUAAGGAUGUUGUAGCCCACCUCAAGAGUUCGGGAAAUUAAUUCAUUUUGAAAAUAUAAUCAGAAUAUGUUCCAGUUCACCAGCAUAGGGUGGUUGUAUUUCCUUUAGUUACAAAAUGCAAGCCCCCUCACAUGUCUGAAGUCUACUGUUUUCUUUGAGUCUCUCUUAUCACAUAAUGCAAAGCUUAAUUUUCUGGUCUAUGAAUUAGUUUUUGUUUUUCAUCUGCUACAACUGUUUAGGAGAGAAGAAAGCACAACACAUCCUUAGAGACUGACCUCCACAUAGCUGACCCUGAUCUGUCCUCUCUGCUUGUUUUUUUCUGUCUCCAGUAUCUUUUUCUGUGAAAAUAUCUCCUUACUGUGCUAUUCCAUUCUCUUUUAUAUCCAACAUAUUAGUACGGAAGCCUGGGGUGGACACCACAUAUCCCGGCUCACACUAUGGUGGAUCUGGACCAAAUACAUUGACAACAGAAAGAAAUGAAGAAAUGCCAGUAAUUUGAAUACU
rnacentral:lncRNA from 1 species